rnacentral:rRNA from 1 species
AUACGUAGGGGGCAAGCGUUGUCCGGAAUCAUUGGGCGUAAAGGGCGCGUAGGCGGAUACUUAAGUCUGGUGUGAAAACCUAGGGCUCAACCCUGGGACUGCAUCGGAAACUGGGUAUCUUGAGGACAGGAGAGGAAAGUGGAAUUCCACGUGUAGCGGUGAAAUGCGUAGAUAUGUGGAGGAACACCAGUGGCGAAGGCGACUUUCUGGACUGUAACUGACGCUGAGGCGCGAAAGCGUGGGGAGCAAACAGGAUUAGAUACCCUGGUAGUCCACGCCGUAAACGAUGAGUGCUAGGUGUAGAGGGUAUCGACCCCUUCUGUGCCGUAGCUAACGCAUUAAGUACUCCGCCUGGGGAGUACGUGCGCAAGCAUGAA